rnacentral:tRNA from 1 species
GGAGGGGUCGCAUAGUGGUCGAGUGCACCACCUUGGAAAGGUGGCAUACUGUCAAAGGUAUCGGAGGUUCGAAUCCUCUCCCCUCCG